UGUGCAGGAAGCCUGUGAGCCCAAAGAUACCAUUCCACCCUUGGCACAGGCAGCACCCAGAUGGCCCCGCGAAGCCUGGGAGGCAUUGCUCCAGAGAUAACGGGAGCAAGGCAGAAGGCGGUGAAAUCUUGAUCUGCCCUUCAGUUAUCUGCAAUCCUCGUAUAUGGCUCCGGUCAAAUGGGCCUCCCACUUUGUCAAGGCACGGGAGGCCAGAAGAAGCCCCAAACCAAGAGGGGGAUCCUAAGGGUGACUCCAAAACAGGGAGGACGAGCCCUGGGCGAGAGGGCAGCAAAGGGGAGGCAGAAGGGGCCAGAGCUCUCACCAUCCACCACCUUUGGACAUCCGGGGGAAGAUCCAUGUUCUCUCUGGUCCAGACAGCAUGGUUUCUCCUGCCCAUGGUCACUACACAGGGCCCACUCCAAGCUAACACCUUGAGCUGACACUUCAAGCUGAUACUCUGAAACUGAAACUGCCAUCUGUCCAGCUCUGCCUUGAUAACUGCAGAAAACCCUUAUCUGACCAUCUACAACGUGGUUCUUUGGCUCUGCAUUCUUAUCACUCUCACCUGUGCUUUUGGCAUAGCAUCCUGUAACCCUGUGGCCACCUUAACCCUUUCUCAUUCUUUGUGUGUGUGUGUGUGUGUGUGUGUGUGUGUGAGAGAGAGAGAGAGAGAGAAAGUAUGAUGUGUUAUAGAUACUAGAAAUUAAGACUGGAAUGGAAUAAAAGAACUUGUGAUUGCCUGACUUAUCUCUAUCAGAUGACCUACAAAUAUUC